GAAGCAAAAAUGAUAAAGCAGAAUGUUCAAGGCACUAAGAGUCAGAUCUCCCAGCUCUUCUCCAAUUUUGCCUGUGACUAGUCAUCUGUCUUUGGGGCAUCUAACAUUCAUUAUCAAAGGAAAGUUGUGAUGGACUGUCAUUUCCCCAGAGAUCAUUUUUCUGGUUGAGGAUGAGGCAUGAAGUACCAGUGAAGAACUGUCGAAUUCUCCUUUGUGAGAUCAAUACAAGAAAAAGGAGUGUAUUCAGUUCUUACCAAAAACGCACGCGCGCACGCACACACACGAGAAAACAAACAACAACAAAAAACAGAACAAAACAACAGCAGCAACAAAAGAUAUGUCUUGGGUAUUUUAGAUGUGAAGCAUUCCCACGUCUACUUGAGAAGCAACUUCCCAAUUACUAAUAAAACUUGCAGGGAUAUUGAUUGGGAUUUUGAGGAAUUUAUGUAUCUUCUUUACAAUAUUGAAUUCUUCAAUUCAUAAUCAUGUUACAAACUUCCAUUUACUGAAGACAUCUUCACAUUUUCUCAAUAGUGACAGAGCUUCCAGUG